UUUGUGAUUCUGCAGGGUGGAAAGAGUCAAAAACCUUCGGCAUGACUGGGCCAGGCGUCCUGACUGGGCCAGGCAUCAGUAUGACAAAAACGUAUCUCCAGGCCCAUGCAGACGCAGACUUGGAGUGCUGCAGACAUGCAGGUCUCUAGACUUCAUCCAGAGGGAACUUUCCUCGAACAGACUGAAAUAUUUUGAAGCAGGCACAGAGACAUUUGAAUGCGGAUGAACCAAACUAGGUAACUAGUUCUACAAUAUGACUGACUCUUAUCUGUGCUGAUAUCGCUAAAACAGCAAGA
rnacentral:lncRNA from 1 species